rnacentral:rRNA from 1 species
AGCUAUAAUUUACUUGAUCUUGACACAAUCCUACUUGGAUAACUGUGGUAAUUCUAGAGCUAAUACAUGCAUUAAAGCUCUGACCUCACGGGAAGAGUGCAUUUAUUAGAACAAAACCAAGCGGCUUCGGCUGUUUCUGGUUGACUCAUAGUAACUGAGCUGAUCGCAUGGUCUUGCACCGGCGACGUGUCUUUCAAGUAUCUGCCGUAUCAACUUUCGAUGGUAGUGUAUCUGACUACCAUGGUGAUCACGCGUAACGGAGAAUAAGGGUUCGGCUCCGGAGAGUUCGCCUGAGAAAUCGCGAACACAUCUAAGGAAGGCAGCAGGCGCGAAAAUUACCCACUCUCAGCACGAGGAGGUAGUGACGAAAAAUAACGAGACCGUUCUCUUAUGAGGCCGGUCAUCGGAAUGGGUACAAUUUAAACCCUUUAACGAGUAUCUAUGAGAGGGCAAGUCUGGUGCCAGCAGCCGCGGUAAUUCCAGCUCUCAAAGUGCAUAGAAUUAUUGCUGCGGUUAAAAAGCUCGUAGUUGGAUCUGUGCCAUAGGACGUGGUCCACCUUCGGGUGCGUACUACGCUCCUAGGCUUUUUGCUGGUUUUCCCGUCGUAGCCUUCACUGGUUGCGGCGGGUGGCUGGCGAGUUUACUUUGAGAAAAUCAGAGUGCUCAAUACAGGCGUAUCGCUUGAAUGAUUGUGCAUGGAAUAAUAGAAAAGGAUUUCGGUCCUCUUUUAUUGGUUUUGUGGACUGAGAUAAUGGUUAACAGGGACAAACGGGGGCAUUCGUAUCUCUGCGUGAGAGGUGAAAUUCUUGGACCGUAGAGAGA